UGGGGAAUCUUGGACAAUGGGGGCAACCCUGAUCCAGCCAUGCCGCGUGAGUGAUGAAGGCCUUAGGGUCGUAAAGCUCUUUCGCCUGUGAAGAUAAUGACGGUAGCAGGUAAAGAAACCCCGGCUAACUCCGUGCCAGCAGCCGCGGUAAUACGGAGGGGGUUAGCGUUGUUCGGAAUUACUGGGCGUAAAGCGCACGUAGGCGGACCAGAAAGUUGGGGGUGAAAUCCCGGGGGCUCAACCCCGGAACUGCCUCCAAAACUAUUGGUCUAGAGUUCGAGAGAGGUGAGUGGAAUUCCAAGUGUAGAGGUGAAAUUCGUAGAUAUUUGGAGGAACACCAGUGGCGAAGGCGGCUCACUGGCUCGAUACUGACGCUGAGGUGCGAAAAGUGUGGGGAGCAAAACAGGAUUAGAUACCCUGGUAGUCCACACCGUAAAACGAUGAAUGCCAGUCGUCGGGUAGCAUGCUAUUCGGUGACACACCUAACGGAUUAAAGCAUUCCGCCUGGGGAGUACGGUCGCAAGAUU
rnacentral:rRNA from 1 species